AUGCACGACACGGAAGGCCUGCCAUUCAUGAAGCAUGGUUGUGUCUUCAGUGCGCACCGCCGGAUGAAUGACAUGCUGGGACACGCUAUCCCUGAUUUAUGCCGCUUCAGCUUGGAUGAGUCUCCAUCGACGGUAUAUCCUGGUAGUAGUACUAGUAGAAUUGAGAUUGAAUGCACUUUCUUCCCUGUCUUCCACUCUUCUUCCUCCUCUCUUCUUCUUCCUCCUCUCUUCCCCAUCGUCGGCCGCACACCAUUUACCCCCGAUCACUGCUCGCUCGCCCGCGCCAUCUUCCUUGUACCAUAUAACUGGAAUUACCGAUGCAAGUCGAAGAAGGAUUGGCCGGUGCUGCCGGCUGGCGUCAAGUUCGAUCCCACGGAUCAGGAGCUGAUCGAGCACCUUGAGGCCAAACGCAAUUCUAGGGCGUUCAAAAGGGGCACGUGGACGCGUCGCAAGAUACAGUCGGAGUGCGGCAUGCACGCGAUGUGGCACAAGACCGACAAUACCUUGCCGGUGAUGGUCAACGGCCGGCAGACGGGCAGCAAAAAAGGUUCUGGUGCUGCACACCAACAAGAACUUCGACCAGCAGAGGACCAACUGGGUGAUGCACCAGUACCACCUCGGGGACCUGGAGCAAGAGAAGGAGCGGGAGCUGGUCCUCUGCAAGAUGUUCUACCAGACGAACACUAG
rnacentral:rRNA from 1 species